rnacentral:misc_RNA from 1 species
AAGUCGUAACAAGGUAACCGUAGGUGAACCUGCGGUUGGAUCAUUAAUGAAAAUGGGGGGGUUUUUUUUGUCUGGGGAUUUUCCCCGGGGAAUGGAGCCCCUUUUAUUUACACCCCCUGUGAACAUGAAUUGGGAUUCUCUAACCAGAUUCCAAAUUAUACUCCUUAUGUAUAUCUCAGUCUCCGAGCGAUUCUUCUUGAGAAACGCGUUUUUAUAUAAAUCUAAAAACAACUUUUGACAACGGAUCUCUUGGCUCUC